CAUGCAGUCGAACGAUGAAGCCCUUCGGGGUGGAUUAGUGGCGAACGGGUGAGUAACACGUGGGCAAUCUGCCCUUCACUCUGGGACAAGCCCUGGAAACGGGGUCUAAUACCGGAUAACACUUUCCUCUGCAUGGGGGAAGGUUGAAAGCUCCGGCGGUGAAGGAUGAGCCCGCGGCCUAUCAGCUUGUUGGUGGGGUGAUGGCCCACCAAGGCGACGACGGGUAGCCGGCCUGAGAGGGCGACCGGCCACACUGGGACUGAGACACGGCCCAGACUCCUACGGGAGGCAGCAGUGGGGAAUAUUGCACAAUGGGCGAAAGCCUGAUGCAGCGACGCCGCGUGAGGGAUGACGGCCUUCGGGUUGUAAACCUCUUUCAGCAGGGAAGAAGCGAAAGUGACGGUACCUGCAGAAGAAGCGCCGGCUAACUACGUGCCAGCAGCCGCGGUAAUACGUAGGGCGCAAGCGUUGUCCGGAAUUAUUGGGCGUAAAGAGCUCGUAGGCGGCUUGUCGCGUCGGAUGUGAAAGCCCGGGGCUUAACCCCGGGUCUGCAUUCGAUACGGGCAGGCUAGAGUGUGGUAGGGGAGAUCGGAAUUCCUGGUGUAGCGGUGAAAUGCGCAGAUAUCAGGAGGAACACCGGUGGCGAAGGCGGAUCUCUGGGCCAAUACUGACGCUGAGGAGCGAAAGCGUGGGGAGCGAACAG
rnacentral:rRNA from 1 species